rnacentral:rRNA from 1 species
GAUGAACGCUAGCGGCAGGCUUAACACAUGCAAGUCGAGGGGUAUAGUUCUUCGGAAUUAGAGACCGGCGCACGGGUGCGUAACGCGUAUGCAAUCUACCUUUCACAGAGGGAUAGCCCCAGAGAAAUUUGGAUUAAUACCUCAUAGUAUAGCAGUUUCGCAUGAAACCACUAUUAAAGUCACAACGGUGAAAGAUGAGCAUGCGUCCCAUUAGCUAGUUGGUAAGGUAACGGCUUACCAAGGCAACGAUGGGUAGGGGUCCUGAGAGGGAGAUCCCCCACACUGGUACUGAGACACGGACCAGACUCCUACGGGAGGCAGCAGUGAGGAAUAUUGGACAAUGGGCGCAAGCCUGAUCCAGCCAUUCCGCGUGCAGGAUGAAGGCCCUCGGGUUGUAAACUGCUUUUGUACGGACGAAAGGUUCUAUAAUACUAGGAGCUCAUGACGGUACCGUAAGAAUAAGCACCGGCUAACUACGUGCCAGCAGCCGCGGUAAAG